rnacentral:rRNA from 1 species
AUCCGGAAGGUACCAGAAUUGGUGAUCCUCAUGCCAACUUAGUACUCAUUUUCCUGUUAACUUAGGAAAAAUGAAUAAAGUGCNUUUUGGCGGACAUUGGGGGGUCGUGAAGACUCUAUCAGUGAGUAUUUGUUCUCGGAAGGACUAGAUAUGAAUAUUGAAUAAUCAGACAUAGUACGAUAAGGUUGUAUGUCUAAAGGGAAACAGCCCAGAACAAGAGUUAAUAAGGUUCCAAAAUUAUUGUUAAGUGAAAUUAAGGCAGUAUUUAUCCAAAACGGCCAGGGAAUAGGCUUAGAAGCGGCCAUUUUCUGAAGACCUCGUAACAGAGCACUGGUUUUGUUUUAAUGAUAAUAAGGAUAAAAGCACCGAAAAUUUAACGGAUCUAAACAAUAUACCGAGACCUUGUCCAAAUAUAUUAAUGUAUCUAAAUUUUACAUUGUAUAUUAGGGGUAGCGGAACAUUGGGGAAGUUUCUUAUUAUGCCUUUAUAAGGCAUAAAAUAUUUAACAACCCAAGCGAUAAUGCUGACAUGAGUAACGAUAAAGGGGAAUACCCUCGCCUAAAGCUUAUGGAAUUUAAUUAAAGUUACGGCCUCUAAGUUUAUUAUAUAUUUAAUGAAUAAUCUGUUAUUUAUUAAUAAUCCCAAAAGGGGUAAACGAUGAGCAAAUCUAAGAUUUAUAGAAAAUAUCAUUUCUACAUAGUGACAAAUGAUCUGGAAAACUGUAUAUCUCGUUUGCUAUAUAGGAAUAAACUAAAACAGAUGAUAUAUUUAGCAGAUGCUUUACCGUACCUAAAUACUACCACAAGUAA